rnacentral:lncRNA from 1 species
CUCCAGGGCCAAGCCAGCGCCCGCCGCCUAGGAGAGCGUCGAGCCCGGUGGCCGGCAGGAGGGCGGGGCGCCUGCAGCAGCACGGCCGUGAGGCAUGGAGACCCCGGCAGCCGGCGGGAGCGGCGCUGCUCCAGGGCGGCCGACUGGACAACGGGGCACGGUGGCUGCGGCCGCGAGGCAUUAAGCAGGCUGCUCCGCGGCAGCCGAUCCGACAGGAGUCUGGACAACGGCUUGGGCGAAGCCAGCCAUGGAGCGACCUGGCUGGAUUUCUCGGCAGAGCUGGAGACCUGGGGGGCAGCGGUUAAGACUUUAUCUCACCGAUACGAAAUUCUUGAAUUUUUACCUGACCAAUGUCUCUUGAACUGA